rnacentral:rRNA from 1 species
CCUACGGGGGGCAGCAGUGAGGAAUAUUGGUCAAUGGGCGUAAGCCUGAACCAGCCAAGUCGCGUGAGGGAUGAAGGUUCUAUGGAUCGUAAACCUCUUUUAUAUGGGAAUAAAGUGCUGGACGUGUGCGGUUUUGUAUGUACCUUAUGAAUAAGGAUCGGCUAACUCCGUGCCAGCAGCCGCGGUAAUACGGAGGAUCCGAGCGUUAUCCGGAUUUAUUGGGUUUAAAGGGUGCGUAGGCGGCUUUUUAAGUCAGUUGUGAAAGUUUGUGGCUCAACCAUAGAAUUGCAGUUGAAACUGGGAGGCUUGAGUACAGUAGAGGUGGGCGGAAUGCGUGGUGUAGCGGUGAAAUGCUUAGAUAUCACGAAGAACUCCGAUUGCGAAGGCAGCUCGC